AUGAAAGAAAAACUAACAUGUUUUGAACAAGUCUGUGGGAUGAUAAUUAACUACUCUAAGAGUGAAAUCAUCCCAAUAGGGCUGAGAGCAGAGGAGUCUGUGUCCUUCUCUGAUAUCAUGGGUUGCACUGUGGGUGCUUUCCCCAUCAAAUACCUAGGAAUCCCUCUUCACUAUGAUAAGUUGAGGAGAGAGGACAUCCAACCUCUCAUUGAAAAGAUCCUGAAGAAAAUGGCUGGCUGGAGAGGGAAAUUACUCUCCUACUAUGCUAGACUUAUCCUUAUCAAGACUUGCAUUGCUAGUGUUCUAGUUUACCUGUUGUCCUUCUUUAAGUUCCCUAAGUGGGCCCUAAACCUGAUUAACAGCCCGCUGGCUCACUGUCUUUGGAGUGACUUUGAAGGGAAUAGGAAGCUUCACCUUGCCAACUGGCACUUGGUCUGUAUGAAAAAAGAGCAUGGUGGAUUAGGAGUACCAAACAUUAGAGAUGUCAACAUUUACCUGCUAGGGAGUUGGGUUAAAAGAUACAUCAAAGAUGAAGGGAAGUUGCGGAGAUCUAUUGUUGAUACUAAGUAUCUUAAUAAUUCCCCCAACAUCUUUUCUUGCAACACCCAACACACCUCCAGGUUUUGGCAAGGGGUCAUGUGGGCUGCCAAGGCCCUUAAGUUUGGCUAUAGGUGGGUAGUUGGAAAUGGGAAGAAGAUUAGGUUUUGGGAAGAUAUUUGGUUUGGUACCUCACCUUUAUCUGUCCAGUUUUGGCCCCUAUAUGUCAUCUGCCAGCAACAUGGUGAAACCCUUGAUAAGAUAUGGGACCAAACUACUAUUAAAUUGACCUUUAGAAGGAUUUUUUUACCCCUACCAUGA
rnacentral:rRNA from 1 species